GAGAGGGUGGAGUGGAUGAAGAGGAGCGCAGCGUGGUCAGAGGAGGGAGGAGGAGGAGGAGGAGGGGUUUUCAUGGCCAGGGGGAGAGCAGGCCUGACUGGGCAGCGACAGAGACGCUUAGUGCCGCCUGGCUUCCUCCUAAAGACUCGGCCUCCUUUCCCCCCAAAGUGUCUCCUCUCUUUCCUCCGCCACCACUCUCUCCUUCACUCUCCUCUUUCCUCCUUUUGUUCCCUUCUCUCCUUCACCCUCCAGUUCCUCCCGUUCGCUCUCCUUUUCUCCCCUCCAUUUCUCUCA